UGAAUUACAUUAUUUCCAUUUUGACACACAGUUAAGUGUUUAAUAAAUGUUUGAAGGAAAGGGGAAAAGCAGAGUACCACAUAAAGAGAAAGAGUCUAAUAAGCCUACAGAGAAUAGUAAUUUUUUAAGGAUAAACAAAACAGCCAAGAGGGCUUGUGGAUCACAGGUAACUUUCAGAAACAAGACAUUCCACACUGAGGAAAUGAGAAGCCACCCAAAAGCAGAGAACUUGGGAGUAUCACAUAACUGGUUUUGAGAAAUAAAGGGAAGAAUAAAUUUCUCAAACACAAGUAGAUUUUUACUUAGAGGCCAGUCUUAGAAAACAUGGUUUUCACUUUGAGGAAAACACAGUCUUCAGUGUUGCAGGGAUAACACUGGAGACUAUAAAUUUAAUUGGCUGGUAAGACUAGUCUAGCUGUUGAUAUUUAAGGUAAAUUAACCCAGCAAGCUACAGUUAUGCCUCUUUUGGAAAAAUCGAAUAUUCUUCAAUCUCAGUAAACCGGAGCUGCAGCUUUUAAAAUUUAUCAACACCUAGUAUGAGCUUUAGUGCUGACAUUUAAAGCAAGAGAAGCAUUAUGUCAAAUAAUUCAGAGUGUAGGCUUUGGAAAGACCUGGAUUCCAGUCUCAGCACUACAGUACGGUCUGGGGUAAAUUACUUAGCAUCCAUAAUUCUGAGUUUCCUUAGCCUGUUAUUAUCAUGGUUAAGAGUAUAGGUACCAAUGUCAAGAUUCAAAUCCCAGCUGUCACUUACUAGCUAUGUCAUCUUAGGAAAGCUACUAAAUUCUCUAUGACUCAGUUUCCUUAAAUGGAGUUUGAGAGAGAGAAAAAUAGUACCUACCCCAUUGGAUUGUUGGUAUUCAUUCAUCCCUGAAUAAAUUUCAGCUGUGUCAGUUUUUGUGUCAGUAACCUCUAACUUCAAAUACUGAGUAUAUUUGCUAUCUUCCAGAAACUUAGAAUCUGGUUAUAAAGAUCAGGAUGGCACAUAUGAAAAUGAAAACAAUAUAGGAUAUAAGUAGGUGUUAAAGAAUGUGAUAAGACAAUAAAGGUUUAUUGAUUCAAUGAUUAUUAAACAUCCAGUGUGCACCAGGCAGGCACUAAGUACCGAGUACUAGAGGGUGAACUCUACAGGGUCCUUGUUCUCAAGAAGAUACUAGUAGGCAAAACAACAGUGAAAUAAAUGCUAUGGUAGAGAUUAGUACUGGGGGUGGUGGGAACUCACAGGAGGGGCAUAUGGCCUGGUUUUAAGAGGUUAGAAAAGGUUUAUCAGAAAAAGUAAAAUCUGAAUGGGGAAGGAGUUAGUGUUCUUGGUAGGUCAGACAAUGUGCAGAAGCCUAGAAAUGUAGCCUGUUACUGUGGCUAGUGGGGAAUUUAGGGUGGUGACUAAAAUGAGGCCCAAAACCAUGAAGCCAAAGAGGUGAACACUUGCUGACCAGGUUAUGGAGGUUCCUGAGUGUCAACUUUAUCCUGAAGGCAGUGAGGAGCCAGUAAAAGUUUUUUGUUUGUUUUUGUUUUUGUUUAGGAGCCACUAAAAGUUUUAAGCAAGAAAGUGACAUGUUUUAGCAAGAUCACUCAGGCUUCAGGGUAGAGAAUUAGAAGUCAAGACAGAAAGCUGGAAGACCGACAAGGAGACUGUUGGACUAAUAAAGUGGGCUGUGGCAGAAUGCAUCUUGCCAGACUCCAGCCAGCUGCAGACAUCAGGAAGAGGGUUAAAGAUGGCCAGACACUAGGGGCAAAUCCCCUCCUCUUCUCUCCAACCCCAAACCCCAAGUACCAAGGUAAGGAAGCUGAGACUCAGAAAGGUUCUGCACAAGAGAGGCAGUGUUUGAAUGUUGCCUCACAGAGGUAGUUCCACAAGGGUGUCCUGCUCACCACCAUGCCCCCAGGGUCUGAGGCUGAGCCUGGCACACAGCAGUGCAGACAACAAGGAGUGAGUAUCUGUUGAACAAAUGGGUGAAUGCCGGCAGCAGAGUCCUCAGUGGGAACAUCCACCUAUCAAUCCCAGUGUAGCUGCAGCUGGUGCAAUGAGGAGGAAGAGAGGUCUCCUGAGAUCCCACCUCUCCCCCAGGUGCCCUCCCUUUGCAUCCCAAGACCCCCACCCGCACCCUUAGCUGAAAAACUGGACUCAGGGGAGCAGGCAGAGUAACGUACUAACGUUUUUAAUACAGUCUGAUCAGAUCAAUUCACAGCACCAGGUCACCCUGGGCCUGCUCACGCGUGACACAGCCGAGGUACACAACAAUGUCCCCACCUGCCAGCUCUCCUGCCUUCCUGGCUACCAACAACACUGAAACCCGCUACUUCCCUGACCAGACUGGCAUUUUUAAAAUUUUGCAUAAAACUAUUUCUUCCAUAGACUUCAAACAAUCAACUAGCCAAGUUAAUUAUGGUACAUCUAAACAAAGUUUAAUACUAACCCUAACGUGUGACUGCGGUUUACAAAGAGCUCUGUAUCACCUGGGAUAGCUUUCAGUAGCAAUUCACUACAACUGGUCCUAAAAAAUAACAAUAAUAAUAAUAAUUAGAGAAUUAAAACCCAACAGCAAGUUGAAUGGUUAAAAUCACAUAAGAACUGGAAUUUGGGGUGGGGGUGUCCUCAAUAGCCCAGCUUGUCCUAGUAGCGAAAUGCUAGCCUCUAGGUAGGGCUCAGAAAGGUCUGAGGCCCUCCAAGUCAAGGGUUAAGCUCAGGGGCUCUCAGAGGGCACUCACCCCAUGGUCCAUGGGAUGCUGUAGGCUUCCAGCUUUCUUGAAAAUAGUUGGGCAUCAGCACUGUGUAAGUGGGUGGAGACCCUGAUGUGGUUUCUCUUAAGGGAUAUGAGAAGGGGGAGGGGACCCAAAUCACUGAGGUCCCUGAAUGCCAUCACGUGUGGGUUUGGGAUUGGGAUCACUAAGAAUUGAGCACCAGGAAUUCCAGCUUCCACCCAUUAGAGAAACCGGGACUGGUGUGGCCUUGGAGGCCUAUGUAGUGUUUUCUGCCCUUGUCCCAUACCAGGUCUUGCAGAUAUUUCUGCAGAGUAUCAGAUGAGAAUCUAUUUCUAAAGACCACUGAAGGGAUGGGUGGUGGAAAGGGAGCGGGUGGGGUGACAGGGUGGGGGGAAGGGGGAGUUAAAAACGAAUAAAAAUCUCUCAGCUACAGAACCCAAAGACAUUACUUCCCUCCGCAUUCACAGCAUUUCUCAGCGGUCCCCGGUGGCCAUUUCCGUGGGGACACAGCAUCUGCCUCACUUCCCCUCAGGCCCCAUGGGCUGCUGGUCAACCUCAGGAUCUACUAAAGAUGAUGCAAACGCUGACUGAACAAUCUGAAACCCAAAGGACUCGAGGAGAGACAUGUUCUGCUGGGGAGAAAAAGGUGAGCCGAGGGCAGGGCCCAGGUCCCCCAGGGGGCCCCCAAGCGCCCGGACAUGCACCUUCUGGAUGUGUUUGUUCAAGUAGGACUUGGAGCGGAAGAAGCUCCCGCAUUCAGGGCAGGGGUACUUCUUCUCCCCGUCAGACUCCAUUUUGUUUUUGGGGACUGCCAUGUCGCAGGAGAAGGAGCCAUUGGUGCUCUGUUUCUCAGGCGUCUUCAGGUCACUGGCGUCCGAGAGGUCACCGUAGGAGUCAGAGCUCUCAAUCGGAUCCUGAUGUGAGCAUUUCUGGCCUUCUAGGAGAAAACAAAACACACAGGAGAGAUGAGGCCAGGCUUUGGAGAUGCCCCCUCCUGGAGGGGUCGGGAAAGGCCAGCUCAUAGGCCUGUGGAGGGCAGCGGAUGGCCAGCCACUGCCCUGGCAGAACCCACGGAGGUUCAGCUGGUCAGUCUGGGAGCCUGGUGUGCCUAUGGGCGUGAGACAGCAGGGCCCUGGGGCUGCCAGCCUCCCUCGCCGCGGACUCUUCAUGCAGGUGCACGUGUAUCGCUCACCACCAUCUCAGCCUGCUUCAAGGAAGAGGGUACGGAGAAGGGGCCUCCACUGCUUCCACCCAGAACAACUCAAAGACCCCGUUCCUAGGCACUUUGCUGGCUGCCCCUGGGGGUAAGAUGGCUGUUCUGAUGAUGCUGAACAGGUAUAUCAAUGGCCUCACCUCCACACCAGACUAGCUGCACCCUAGCAAGGCAGAACCAAAGCCGUGAGGUCCUCAACCCGGCAGACCCCACUGAUGGCUGAGACAGAAGCCAAUCCUUUUCCCAAUGCUGCAAACACAAGCCCUGCCCUUAUUGCCUUCCUUCUGCCAAAACCCAUCCAGGGCCCAGCGGCCAAAGCAUAGAGAUUAAAAAGUAACUUUGAACAACUCGGUCAGCUGACUGUCCCCACACAGGGCUCAGGACAAGCUGGGCCUCAAGACAAUCCUCAUUGCUCUGCCUUGCCCUGCCCACACUGCAGUCCACCAAUCAGAAGCUUCCUGCCUGAGUUCAGAGAGCCAUGCCGGGAAGGGAGGUCUGUGAUGGGAGCGUGGAGCAUGCCAUCUCUGCCAUCUCUGCCGUCUGCCAAGCCCCUGGCAUCAUCCCCAAGGCAACAACUAGAAAUACCACAGAACAACCUGAAUCAACACGUGAAGGUGGGCCCUAGGGAGCUCUCUGCAGACCAACUCCAAGUCAGAGGCAGUCACAUAUCUCAUUUAUCGCCAUGCAUUUCACAAACGCAGCCAGAGGCCCGCCAGAAAGGACCGCUCACAGCAACCAAUCACCCCUAUCAAGGAGGAAGCCAGCCCUUGGCUCCCCCUUGCCCACAGGGUCAAAGAAAAAGAAA